rnacentral:pre_miRNA from 1 species
AGAGGAAUAGCUGGGUCAAAUGGUGGGUCCAUUACCAGUUUUCCAAGGAAUCUCCUUACUGGUUUCCAAAUUGGCUGCACCAAUUUGCAGUCCCACCAGCAGU